rnacentral:rRNA from 1 species
GACAGAGGGUGCAAACGUUGUUCGGAAUACUGGCGUAAGCGUGCGCAGGCGGUGAUGUAAGACAGAUGUGAAAUCCCCGGGCUCAACCUGGGACUGCAUUUGUGACUGCAUCGCUGGAGUACGGCAGAGGGGGAUGGAAUUCCGCGUGUAGCAGUGAAAUGCGUAGAUAUGCGGAGGAACACCGAUGGCGAAGCAAUCCCUGGCCUGUACUGACGCUCAUGCACGAAAGCGUGGGAGC